UACGUAGGGCGCAAGCGUUUGUCCGGAAUUAUUGGGCGUAAAGAGCUCGUAGGCGGCUUGUCGCGUCGGUUGUGAAAGCCCGGGGCUUAACCCCGGGUCUGCAGUCGAUACGGGCAGGCUAGAGUUCGGUAGGGGAGAUCGGAAUUCCUGGUGUAGCGGUGAAAUGCGCAGAUAUCAGGAGGAACACCGGUGGCGAAGGCGGAUCUCUGGGCCGAUACUGACGCUGAGGAGCGAAAGCGUGGGGAGCGAACAGG
rnacentral:rRNA from 1 species